CAGUGGUAGCAAUUAGGUCAUGUAUUUUCCUUUUGGAAAGGAAGAACUAUACCUUAUAUAACUUCUAUAUAAUCUGUGGCAUGUAGUAGAUUCUGAGUGCAGAGUUAGCAAUAAAUAAAUGCUCAUGAAAGACUGGUUUGAUAACAUUAGUGUUAGGUCUAUCAAAGCUGAUUUUGAAUAUUCAGAUCUUAGAUUUCGCACAGUAAACUUAGGUAUGUUAGUCUCUCAGCUAUGUCCGACUUUCUGCGACCCCAUGGACUGUAGCCUGCUAGGCUCUUUUGUCUAUGGGAUUCUCCAGGCAAGAAUACUGGAGUGGGUUCCCAUUUCCUUCUCCAGAGGAUCUUCCCCACCCAGGGAUAGAACCCAGGUUUCCUACAUUGUAGGCAGAUUCUUUACCACUGAGCCACCAGGGAAGCACUUAGGUAUAAAUGCAAACCAAUGUGGAUUUUAAAGGGAAGAUUUGUAUCUGAGGGGUAAGACCAGCAAAUGUAGCAGCAAGACUUCUAACACAAUUUACAUACCAUCAUUAUUUAUUCAUGUAGAGAUGAAAGUACCUUCAAAUACUAUGCCUAAUUAUUCCCAACACUUCUGUGUUCACUAUGUUUGAGCAUAAAAGUUGAUUUUACAAACAUAAGAUUUUACUUUGCCUGCACUAGAACCUCAUUUCUUAUUCAUGUUUCAAAAAGAACAAAAAAUACCAAACCUUCCUUUUUGAAAGCCAUUUUUCAAAGAAAUGCUCAUUCAAUGUUUUUGUAAGUUUCUGCAAUCAAAUAGUAAGCUAUGACAUGGUUUCUUGGAAUACAUCUUAUUUUCUGUGUGCUGUAUCAGACAAGAAUUCAAAUAGGUAUUAUAUUGCUGCUGCUGCUUAGAUGCUAAGUCAUGUCUGACUCUGCGAUCCCGUGGACAGUAACCCUCCAGGCUCCUCUGUCCAUGGGAUUUUCCAGGUAAGGAUACUGGAGUGGGUUUCCAUUUCAUUCUCCAGAGGAUCUUCCAGACCCGGUGAUCAAACCUGCGUCUCUUUGUGUCUCCUGCAUUGGUAGGCAGAUUCUUUACCACUGAGACACCUGGGAAGCCCAGGUAUUAUAUUACACCUACCUAAAUUUUACUUUGCUGUUUCAACUACAUAAGAGGGGUUACUUCCAUGAUUUAAUUAACACAGUGUUUAUCGACAACACUUUCUUACACUGAACCAGGGCUGGUUUUUGAUGAGUUCUUCUUAGGGACAUUAUGGAAUGUAAUCAUCAUGAUUGUCUCUUUUAAUUGAAGAUCUAUAGGUGAGGAAUUUUAGUGAUAGCCUUGUUGCUUCUUAAGGCAUGUAGGGGAGGAAAGAUAAUUUUCCCUCAACCCUCCAGGUUCUUGGCUGAGACCCAUAAGCAGCAGUUUAAUAAAAUGUACACCUCCUGUAUACAUGGGAGAUACCCAAGAAAACCAGUAACUCUCUGAAAUUGCCCAGCCACCACCUUAAAUAUCAUCUCCAGUUAAAGACAAAAGAAUGAUGGUGUGGUGUGGUGUGGUAUGGGGGGGUGCAGUUAUGGGAGGUUACCAGGAAAAGCACAGUAAACAAGGGUAUGAUGCUUAUACAGAUUUAAGUCCCUGCCUUCUCCAGUCAUAAGUGUUUCCAGAGAAUUCUUUCUCAUCCGCUUCUUGGUACAGAGAUGAAGACAUCCUUAAAAAUCAAGCUUUCUCUUAUAAAUGUACAUUUCUCUUAGAAAAGGAUAACUACUUGGUUUUCAGAGCUUUCCCUAUGUAUGCUGUUUCUUAUAAAUAACCAGCUCAAGAUAAUCCCUAUGCCUGAGGCAUAUUUGGGGGUGACAAAUUCUCAUGACCUUCAGGGAUCUGUUCUGAACUCUGCCAUUACUUGCAUAUUUCACAAAGUGUGAAUCAUCUUUCUGGUUUCUUUCUGCUUUUUUCUUUUGGGGGGCAGUGGCAGCAUCUGGGAUCUUAGUUCCUGGUUUGGAGGUCAAAUGCAGGCCCCCUUAGCUAAAACGCUGAGUCCUAACCACUGGACUUCCAGGGAAUUCCCUUUUUAAGAUUUUGUACAACUAAAGCCAUUCCUGGCAAUAACUUUUCUUAGACUUCUUUAACCAGAGUGAGUUAGACUUCAGUUUAAAUUUUAGAUUCUCCAGUCAAAUUGUAUAUGAGGACUUUUAAAUUUUAACAAAAAUAAAUCAAGUUGUAAAUGGCUAUUAGCAGGUGAAUAGUCAAUUAAGUUAUACAA
ensembl:lncRNA